UGCACCGAUGUCUUCAAGUACUACACCACCAAACCACGGGAGUUUUAUACCACAACUUACGCUGCCCCGAGCCACUACACUGAUGCCCUGAAGUAUUACUCUGCCCUGAGUUACUACACCAUCUAGGCGACGGAUGACACCACAUGACUACGUAUACUGCCUAUCCUACUACACCGAGGCUUCUAGCUGCUAUACCGAGGCUCCCGCUGAUGUCUCCAUCAAGACGGUCGAAUACUACACUGAAGCGACAAAGUACUACUCUGCCCCGAUCUACACAACCACAACUGAGGCGGCCAAGUAUUACGCAGUCCCGACUUGCUACACCAAAGCUGCUCUUUCGUGCUGCGUCGAACAGAUACUACACUGAUGCUCCAGUCUACUACACCACGACCUACGCUACACCUAGCUACAACACCGCAGACCCCAAGUACUACACCGAAGAAGGCGUCCAUACACAACUACGUACGCUGCCUAGCUUACUACAUCGAGGAAUUUAAGUAUUACUCCUCCAAACUACUACCAAACUGAGGUUCAUAUGUAUUACAUCAGCAAUUCUCUCCACCUUGUCACCACUAUUUACGCUACUCCGAGCUAUAUACCGAAGUUCUAAAGUAUUUUUUGGAUGUGUUGAAAGAUUGUUGAAAUACAAGAUUGAUUCAUAAAUCACAA